UUAAUAUGUGUUGAUUAGUUCAAAAGAAACUUACGUAAGUUGGAUCAUGAAUUUUUUAUUUGUAGUAUAAAAAAUGAAAAUUUUUAAACAACAAACUAGAAAAUGUUGGAUUUUGGUUUUUAAUUUUAGAUUUUUUUUAUUUCUAAAUUCCAAUUUUCUUAAAAAAAAUCUAAAUUUUGUUAAUGUUUUCUUUUAUUUUAAUUUUUUCUUACCUAUGAAUUGAUUAAAAGCAAACUUAAAUCACUAAAAUAAUAUAUAAAAAAAUCAGUAAAUAAUACCAAUAGAUUAUUAACAAAAAAAAGAUAAACUUUACAUAAAAGUAAAUUUAAAUACUUAAGUUAAUUUUAUCGACAAGUUUUAGAAUUGUUCUUAUUAGAAAUUUAUUUUUGUAUUAUAUAUAUUAAACAGAUGAUUUUUACUAAAUCUGAUUUGUUUCUAGUAUUUAUUGUUUUAUUUGUUUUCAUGUAUUGCAUAAAUAUAGCAAAAAUUUAAUUUAAAAUAAAAAAAUUGAAAAACUGUCGGUAGAUUUUGAAGAAACCAUAAAAACUUGAAGUUUGGUUUUUGUUUAUAAAAUACAGUUAUUUGGAAAAUCUAGUUUCCCUAGAUUAUAGGAAAUCUAUCUUUCUAAAAGUUUGAUUGUCUAGAAAAUGGUUUUUAGAAAAACACAAAAGCCAAAAACUACUUCAAAAAUGUAUAUUUAAAGUUUUCCACAAUAUUUUUUUUUUAAAAGCUGUUCUAUUUUAUUUUAAUUAACAUAUUAUUUUGUUAAAUAUGAUAAUAAUUAUUUAAAAAUACAAAUAAACUAUAAAUUUUACAAAGAUAUGCAUUCGAAAUAUAAAACAAAUUUUUAAAUAUUAAGCUAUUAUAAGAUGAUUCUAAUGACAUUUUUUAUGAAAACUACUAUUUUUAAUUUUUCUAGAAAUUCACCAUUUAAAUGAAUUUAAAUUAAUCCAAAAUAGAAUAAAAGUAAAAUUAAUUUCUCAAAGACUAAUUACUCUUAAAAAUGUGGAAAAGCUUAAUUCCACUCAUUUGAUAUUUGUCUCAUUCAAAUUAUCUCACCAUAACCAUUUACUUCUCUACAGAUAUGAAAGGAAUUGAAAGUUACUCUACAUCGCCCUUCGUUGGAUAUGAUUCUACUUAGGGGUUGACUGGUUAACGCAAUAACAAAAUUUUCUUUGUACUCGACAAUUUUCUAAAGCCAAUACAAAUAUGAAAAUAGUUGCAAAUACUGUACAUCGUUAACCUACUUUUUUUUAUAAAAAAAAAAAAUCUUGUCAUCAACCUGAUUACUUAAACAGAUCUAAGAUCCAUUCUCUACUUAACUAGCCAAACUCAAUAUAUUACUUAGAUUUAUUGUUUGUUAAGGCGUUAGGUUUUUGAUAUUAACUUACACGUGAAUGAGAUCCUAAUUAGGUCUGACAAAGUAUCAACAUGAAACCCCACUCUUGGUUUACUUUAAAUUAUUUCUCACGGGAAACGCAUUAACCGGAUUUAUUACUUAAGUACUUUAGUUCAUGUGUUGCUUGCAUCGAUAUGUUUAGACCACCUCCAACGGUGGCUUUAACUAGAAGUUCUAAAAGAAAAAACAAAAAAAUAAAAAUGAGAUAAAUGAGCAAAACCGGUUCUUAAUAUAACACUUCUAGAAUCAGUAAAAACUCCAUAUGUGCCUCUUUGUUAUUGGCUAAAACAAAAAGGGGGAAAAUCUGACCUUCUCUUUCUUCUUCUCCGUCAAUGUCUUGUUUUUUUGGUCUGAGAAAUUUCUUUGUCAAUGUUCAGAUGUUUUGAGAAAUCUCUCCAAAUCAUCACACAAGAUCAAACACAAGAUCAACCGUUUGUUGGAUGAGAUGCUGAGCUUGGAGAAACAAAGGCCUCAAUCGUCAUCAUCGGAGGAGAUUGGAACAAAUGACGAGAAUCAAGCCUGGACUAUCGGUGAUCAUCUAACCACUUGUGAAAGAUGGAUGUGUGGGGAAUCAUAGAGGUAUCUCGGGUUGCGAAUGAGCAGUGUUCUUGGCCUAGUGUUUGUGCAUUUUGCAAAGAAGUAUGUAUUGUAAUAUGUAAUACAUUUGAAAGUGGUGCACCUUUUAUAUGUUUGAUGUUAUUUGAACCUGAGUAUUAUAUAAAUAAUAAAGUUUUUGUGAAAA